CAGUAGCCGCGGGAAUACGUAGGGGGCAAGCGUUAUCCGGAAUUACUGGGCAUAAAGGGCGCGUAGGCGGACUGAUAAGUCAGGGGUGAAAUCCCAAGGCUCAACCUUGGAACUGCCUUUGAUACUGUUUGUCUUGAGUUCGAGAGAGGUAAGUGGAACUGCGAGUGUAGAGGUGAAAUUCGUAGAUAUUCGCAAGAACACCAGUGGCGAAGGCGGCUUACUGGCUCGAAACUGACGCUGAGGCGCGAAAGCGUGGGGAGCAAACAGGAUUAGAUACCCCUGUAGUCCCUGUCUCUUAUAA
rnacentral:rRNA from 1 species